rnacentral:tRNA from 1 species
UCCUUACUGGCUCAGAUGGUAAAGAAUCUGCCUUACACUGCAGGAGACCUGGGUUCAAUCCCUGGGUUGGGAA